CCCAUUUCCCAUUUCCCUUUUUCCAUUUCCCUAACCCAUAAAAAUCCCUAAGCCUUUCCCUCCCCCCUUCUUUUCCCCAAUUCCAAAAUCCACCUCCACCUCCACUGAUCCACAAUUCCACCUCCAAUCCUCCACGCUCCACCUAUUUCCAGAAUCAACUCUUACAAGUACUCUAGCAGCGGGUAUUCCUUCAACAGGAAAGAAAGUAAUCGACAGUACUCAAGCUUGAUCAAGAAGGGUACCUUUGCAAAUGUAUAAAGAUCUGGCACUGUCUUCUCGAAAUCGAAAGGUAAAGGAAGAGGAAAAAUAAAGAGGUUAGAGCGGUGUUUCUACGUCUUCUACCUUUGAAUUUCAAGAUAUCUUGCUUAAAAUCUUAAAACCCUUUUUGCAACUUGUUAGCUAUACAUCCCAACACUUUUCGCAAAAACAAGCAACAUUGAAAUCGAUUUGGCUUACCUUGGCUUACCUUAGCUUCCUUUCUCGUAAGCUUUCAUUUACAUUUUCUUUUUAGAAUUUAAUUUAAUUUAAUUUGAUUUUCUUUUAUUUUACUUUGUACAACAUUUUCUUUUAUUAUGAUGCAGUUUGAAUUUUAUUCAAGGUAAAGAAGUCUGUCUAUGUAUUCUUAGCAGAUGAAUGAUCAUAAAACAUUUGUUUUCUGAUUAAAAUUGAUUGAUUUAUUUUU